rnacentral:lncRNA from 1 species
AUUUUACUAGGUAAUUUCAAUAGAAAUUGAUUUUUAGGACCUAAUUGUGAAAAUGUUUGGAAUUAAAGUCUAGUGCUGAAAUUCUGAUUCCCAAAGGUUAUAAAGUAGUUUAAAGUGAUAGAAUAAUGUGUUAAUUGAGAAAAAUCAGCUCAAUUGAGAGGCUAAUUGAGUAGGGAUGAAAUUAUUAUUUAUUAAAAGCUUAGGGAAA